rnacentral:rRNA from 1 species
UACGUAGGUGACAAGCGUUGUCCGGAUUUACUGGGCGUAAAGAGCGCGCAGGCGGUCGAUCAAGUCGAGUGUGAAAGCCCCCGGCUCAACUGGGGAGGGUCAUUCGAUACUGAUCGACUCGAAGGCAGGAGAGGGUAGUGGAAUUCCCGGUGUAGUGGUGAAAUGCGUAGAUAUCGGGAGGAACACCAAUGGCGAAGGCAGAUCUCUGGGCCGUAACUGACGCUGAGGAGCGAAAGCAUGGGGAGCGAACAGG